UACGUAGGGUGCGAGCGUUGUCCGGAAUUACUGGGCGUAAAGAGCUCGUAGGUGGUUUGUCGCGUUGUCCGUGAAAACUCACAACUCAAUUGUGGGCGUGCGGGCGAUACGGGCAGACUGGAGUACUGCAGGGGAGACUGGAAUUCCUGGUGUAGCGGUGGAAUGCGCAGAUAUCAGGAGGAACACCGAUGGCGAAGGCAGGUCUCUGGGCCGUAACUGACGCUGAGAAGCGAAAGCAUGGGGAGCGAACAGG
rnacentral:rRNA from 1 species